CCUACGGGUGGCAGCAGUGAGGAAUAUUGGUCAAUGGACGAGAGUCUGAACCAGCCAAGUAGCGUGAAGGAUGACUGCCCUAUGGGUUGUAAACUUCUUUUAUAAAGGAAUAAAACGAGGCACGUGUGCCUUUUUGCAUGUACUUUAUGAAUAAGGAUCGGCUAACUCCGUGCCAGCCACCGCGGUAAUACGGAGGAUCCGAGCGUUAUCCGGAUUUAUUGGGUUUAAAGGGAGCGUAGAUGGGUUGUUCAGUCAGUUGUGAAAGUUUGCGGCUCAACCGUAAAAUUGCAAUUGAUACUGGCAGUCUUGAGUACAGUUGAGGUAGGCGGAAUUCGUGGUGUAGCGGUGAAAUGCUUAGAUAUCACGAAGAACCCCGAUUGCGAAGGCAGCUUACUAAACUGUGACUGACAUUGAUGCUCGAAAGUGUGGGUAUCAAACAGGAUUAGAUACCCCGGUAGUC
rnacentral:rRNA from 1 species